CUAAUCAAACCAGUCCGGAACAUUGUGACGGCUAAGAGGAACUCCCCAGUCAACAACCAGUGCAGCCCCCAGGGGUCUGCCAACCAGAGUCCCCUGGGCUUCCAGGUGGUCUGUGAAGCCGGCCAAUCAGAUUCCUCCUCCCCUGCAGCAGGUGAGCARAGCUGUCGCCGUGCCAACUCGGUGGAGAAGGGAGGGACAUCCCAGCAGCCCCCGGCGGCCAAGGGGCCCUCCAAGAAAAAGUGAGCACCUUAACCUGAAGUCCAACAGGGUUUAAUAAUGAUGAGCUGAUGUU